CACCACCACCACCUCCAUACAAGUAUGAAUCCCCGCCACCUCCACCUUAUUACUACAAGUCCCCUCCACCACCACCAUACAAGUACGAGUCGCCACCACCUCCUCCGUACAAGUAUGAAUCUCCACCACCACCAGUUUACAAAUACAAGUCACCUCCGCCGCCACCUUAUUACUACAAAUCCCCACCGCCACCUCCAUACAAGUACGAGUCUCCACCUCCUCCUCCGUACAAGUAUGAAUCUCCACCACCACCACCUUAUUACUACAAAUCCCCCCCGCCACCUCCAUACAAGUACGAGUCACCGCCUCCUCCUCCGUACAAGUAUGAAUCUCCACCACCGCCAGUUUACAAAUACAAGUCACCCCCGCCACCACCUUAUUACUACAAAUCCCCGCCACCACCUCCAUACAAGUACGAGUCUCCACCUCCUCCUCCGUACAAGUAUGAAUCUCCACCACCACCUCCUUAUUACUACAAAUCCCCGCCGCCACCUCCCUACAAGUAUGAAUCCCCGCCACCACCUCCCUACAAAUACGAGUCACCUCCACCACCACCUUACUAUUACAAAUCUCCUCCACCGCCUCCAUACAAGUAUGAGUCGCCACCACCACCAGUCUACAAAUACGAGUCUCCGCCACCCCCAGUUUACAAAUACAAGUCGCCCCCUCCACCUUAUUACUACAAGUCUCCGCCACCCCCGCCAUACAAAUAUGAAUCCCCACCUCCACCUCCCUACAAGUAUGAAUCGCCUCCUCCUCCACCUUACUACUACAAGUCCCCUCCACCACCUCCCUACAAAUAUGAAUCCCCGCCACCACCUCCCUAUAAAUACGAGUCACCACCACCACCACCUUACUAUUACAAAUCUCCUCCACCGCCUCCAUACAAGUAUGAGUCGCCACCACCACCUCCCUACAAAUACGAGUCACCACCACCACCACCUUACAAGUAUGAAUCCCCACCUCCACCUCCGUACAAGUAUGAAUCACCUCCACCGCCUCCAUACAAGUAUGAAUCCCCUCCUCCACCUCCCUACAAAUACGAGUCACCACCCCCACCACCUUAUUACUACAAAUCGCCUCCGCCACCGGAGUAUCAAUCAC
rnacentral:lncRNA from 1 species